UAACAUUUGAGUUAAGUUGAAAAAAGCCAGAAAGGUGGAGAUGAGGAGGGAGAAAUUCCAGCAAAGACAUCAACUAGUGAAAAAGCAUAGAGUUGGAAGAUGGCUUGUUGAAUUUGAAGAAUUGCAAAAAGAAUCCGUGCCUAAGGACCCUUGACCUGGUUCUACUAGAGUAGUCUGAAGUGUGGGAAUUGUCAAACAUCACAUAAAAGAGGAGAAAACUGAAGCCCCAAAAGAAGGGUAUGACUGGAGAAGGUAUGAGAAGUACAACAAUUUGGAGAUCUACCAGAACAUAAUGAAAAACACAUUUUAGUUUUGUCUUAAAUUCGUGGUUACAAAGCACAGUCACACAUUAACUUCGUUUAAUCUUCUCACACCACCCUUUCUUAAUGAUUUUAUUAAUGAGCUUUAUUAAUGAUUUUCUCUUACAGACAUGUAAACAGAGACUUUGAGAAGCAGGUCAAGUGUCCAUGGUCACAAAGCCAGUUAUGUGGCAGGGUCUAGACUUGAAUCCAGGACUUUUUAAUUCCAUGGCCAAUGCUAU